rnacentral:rRNA from 1 species
CGUGAAGUGGCGGACGGGUGAGUAACGCGUGGGUAACCUGCCUCAUACAGGGGGAUAACAGUUAGAAAUGACUGCUAAUACCGCAUAAGACCACAGUACCGCAUGGUACAGGGGUAAAAACUCCGGUGGUAUGAGAUGGACCCGCGUCUGAUUAGGUAGUUGGUGGGUAACGGCCUACCAAGCCGACGAUCAGUAGCCGGCUUGAGAGAGUGAACGGCCGCAUUGGGACUGAGACACGGCCCAA